CUCCUGUUGUCACCUGUCUUUUCCCCGUGCCCGCCAGAGACCAGGUAACUCUCCUGUUGUCACCUGUCUUUUCCCCGUGCCCGCUAGAGACCAGGUAACUCUCCUGUUGUCACCUGUCUGUUCCCCGUGCCCGCUAGAGACCAGGUAACUCUCCUGUUGUCACCUGUCUGUUCCCCGUGCCCGCCAGAGACCAGGUAACUGUCCUGUCCUACUGUUGUCAACUGUCUGUUCCCCGUGCCCGCCAGAGACCAUGUAACAUACUGUUCACUACUGCCCUGUAUGGUUGGCAUGAUACCAGUAUCACAAUAAUACCAUACUUGAUUUUCCAUGGUGAACACAUGAAGCAGACUACUAUUUUCUCCUUUAGGAACCUUUCAUACAAUAUUGUGUAUAGCUUAGAAAAUAAACACAUUUGACUCUGGGUGAUAACAUAAUGCUCUUUGUUUCCAAAAUUAGGAUUGUUUUCCUUUAGAAUUGAAAUCCGCAUCAUGUUUUGUUUCCUUGCUACCAGACUUAUCGCGAUACUGCUACCGUGACAACCCUAUCUCAAACCAUCUCCUAGACCAGUAGUUCCCGAACCGGUCCACCAGUAACCCCAACAAUACACAUUGUUGUUGUAGCCCCAGACAACCAUACAUGAUUACACAGAUCUGUGUGAGAAAGAAUUAUGGGAACCCAACCCAUUGUUGUUCCGUCAUCUACUAAACCCCAAUGUAACUCUGAUACACUGGAUAAUCUGUGUUCUCUUAUCUCUGUACUGUACAGUGUUUAUACAGUAACAGAACAGCAGUUGAUAAUAAUACGGUACCAUCUAACUGCCUUCCAAACCAGCCUGACUGUUUUCACCGUUUGUAGGGGUUUAUUUGCGUUCUGACCAUCAUUAACUAACACAGCUACUGUGGUAAAAGAGGUUUUACGGUCCUCUUAACAGUAGAAAUGCCAGCCCUCGAGCGGUCCCACUCUGAGCCAAUGGCGCGUCUUUUUGAUGUCAACAUUCAAACAGUAUAAAUCUAUUUAAUAUAUGCAUCCCGGAAAAUGUUCCUUUGGUUGUGUUUAUGGUUAGGGUUAGAAUACAAAUGUGUAUAUUUUUUAAAGAACAUAAUAGCAUUUUCAUUAGUAUAUGUUACUGUAGCCUAUUUAUAAAAACAAAAAAAACUACUAACCACACCCAUUAUAAUUUGAUUUUGGCAGGUCUAAAGAAACAUUGAAAUAAGAAAAUGUACUUCAAAAGAACAGAACAUAUGAUGUGUUUUAUUAUGUUACUAGUCUGUGCUUAGUGGCCUGGGUUGUAUGCUGCCACGUGUUCAUGUGUGGAGUGCAUGGACGCGGUUACUCUUGGUAAAAGUGAUUUAUUUUUAAUGUUGAAUUUUUACCCCCUUUUCUCCCCAAUUUCGUGGUAUCCAAUUGUUAGUAGUUACUAUCUUGUCUCAUCGCUACAACUCCCGUAUGGGCUCGGGAGAGACGAAGGUCGAAAAGCCAUGCGUCCCCGAAACACAACCAAGCCGCACUGCUUCUUAGCCGCACCAAUGUGUCGGAGGAAACACCGUGCACCUGGUUAGCGUGCACUGCGCCCGGCCCGCCACAGGAGUAGGUAUGGAAUGAUUGUUAAUUUCCAAUACAAUCUCUUAGUCGUGGUCAUUUAUGGUGCACAGAUCAUGUAAUAAUGUUCUGCCUCCCCGACCAUCCGACUGACUAAAAUGGGCCCGUGGCUGAAUCUAGUUGCCUACGUCUGCUGUAGGGGGAUUUUAAAAAGACACUUUUUGUUGCUCCGUUUCCCUGCCUCUGUAUCAAGUCCAAGCUGCACUAGUCCAUCUCUUCAUAUACAAUUUGACGAUUGUUAAUAUUGUCACCCAUCAGACUAUUGUCAACUUAAUCUUGUGUUUAGGCUAACUCUAUUAUUAUGUGUCAAAUGUAUUUCAAUGUAGUUUAGCUGUAGUUUAGAUGGGCCAUCAGCUGUGCUGUGUUAAAUAUACUUAUUUAGGAAAAGUCAAUGGCCAGGUCAUUUCAAAGUGUUAAUGAGUUUUGUGUCAACAUGACGCUUUCAGUGCUUCUAGUGAUCACUGCCUUUUUACAGGAGCACUGCCUGUUUGCCCCCCCCACCUCCCCUUCACCCCCCUCUCCCUAGACCCUCAGCCCUUUGAAGUGUCCUGUGGCUGGGGUAGUCCAGGUGUUGAGGCUGACCUAGUGGAGCCUGCUGUCUGUCUGGGGAUAAGGAGCUAAAGGCGCUCUCACAUUAUACCUGCAAGGCACUUUGAUUUGCUUGCCUCGAAGAAGGGGCGCAGAAGUGUUGGAUAGUUCCAUUUGUUUGAACUUUGACAGAAGCAACAGCCCCAAAGUACCGUAGCUCUAUGUAACAUAUUUCUGACACGUCGGCUGUUCAGGGUGUUACACUGCAGACGUGGAGCCCCCUUUGAUCUUUCCCUCCUUCCCAGAAACCCAUCCUCCACUGAAGUCAGCUGUACAGGUAGAACAGUCCUGCUGUAGGACAACAGUAGAACAACCGCUGGUAGUUGCUAGGGGGACUGCGAGGUCGUGGGAGGAACAACUCUGGGGAAAACAUUCUACAGUGACACUUAGCCUCUGACCUGGUUGUAUGACAUGUAAAUAUGUGUUGGGAAUGACGAACGCUAUCAAACGCAUAUUUACACUUAAAUUAGAAGACCGUACAGUAGAUUGAUUUACUGGUUGUAAUAUUUACUGCAGCAGUGCAGUCUUUUUACUGCCCCGCUCUCUAUUUUAACUUAGUAAACAAGAAUGUUUUCACCUCCGUUCAUGCUUUUCAUCUAGUCUUCAGUCUUUAUCAAGGUUGGGAUGUGUUGUUGAUAUCUUUACUAUCUCUGUCUCUCUCUCCCUCUCCACGUCCCUUCAACCACUCUCCAUUCUGUUUACACCCCCCCAACCUGACAUUCUGGUCUCCUCCCA